rnacentral:rRNA from 1 species
GACGAACGCUGGCGGCGUGCUUAACACAUGCAAGUCGAACGGAAAGGCCCUGCUUUUGUGGGGUGCUCGAGUGGCGAACGGGUGAGUAACACGUGAGUAACCUGCCCUUGACUUUGGGAUAACUUCAGGAAACUGGGGCUAAUACCGGAUAGGAGCUCCUGCUGCAUGGUGGGGGUUGGAAAGUUUCGGCGGUUGGGGAUGGACUCGCGGCUUAUCAGCUUGUUGGUGGGGUAGUGGCUUACCAAGGCUUUGACGGGUAGCCGGCCUGAGAGGGUGACCGGCCACAUUGGGACUGAGAUACGGCCCAGACUCCUACGGGAGGCAGCAGUGGGGAAUAUUGCACAAUGGGCUGAAGCCUGAUGCAGCCACGCCGCGUGCGGGAUGACGGCCUUCGGGUUGUAAUCCGCUUUCGCCUGUGACGAAGCGUGAGUGACGGUAAUGGGUAAAGAAGCACCGGCUAACUACGUG